rnacentral:rRNA from 1 species
CAGUAGCCACGGUAAAACGUAGGUGGCAAGCGUUGUCCGGAAUUAUUGGGCGUAAAGGGCUCGCAGGCGGUUUCUUAAGUCUGAUGUGAAAGCACCCGGCUCAACCGGGGAGGGUCAUUGGAAACUGGGAAACUUGAGUGCAGAAGAGGAGAGUGGAAUUCCACGUGUAGCGGUGAAAUGCGUAGAGAUGUGGAGGAACACCAGUGGCGAAGGCGACUCUCUGGUCUGUAACUGACGCUGAGGAGCGAAAGCGUGGGGAGCGAACAGGAUUAGAUACCCCUGUAGUCCCUGUCUCUUAUAC